rnacentral:rRNA from 1 species
UACAGAGGUGGCAAGCGUUGUUCGGAAUUACUGGGCGUAAAGGGCGCGUAGGCGGCCUUUCUAAGUCAGACGUGAAAUCCCUCGGCUUAACCGGGGAACUGCGUCUGAUACUGGUUGGCUUGAAUCCGGGAGAGGGAUGUGGAAUUCCAAGGUGUAGCGGUGAAAUUCGUAGAUAUUGGGAAGAAACACCGGUGGCGAAGGCGGCGACCUGGUCCGUGCUGACGCGAGGCGCGAAAGCUAGGGGAGCAAAACGGGG